AGCGAACGCUGGCGGCAGGCUUAACACAUGCAAGUCGAGCGGGCCCUUCGGGGUCAGCGGCAGACGGGUGAGUAACACGUGGGAACGUACCCUUUGGUUCGGAAUAACGCUGGGAAACUAGCGCUAAUACCGGAUACGCCCUUUUGGGGAAAGGCUUGCUGCCGAAGGAUCGGCCCGCGUCUGAUUAGCUAGUUGGUGGGGUAAUGGCCUACCAAGGUGACGAUCAGUAGCUGGUCUGAGAGGAUGAUCAGCCACACUGGGACUGAGACACGGCCCAGACUCCUACGGGAGGCAGCAGUGGGGAAUAUUGGACAAUGGGCGCAAGCCUGAUCCAGCCAUGCCGCGUGAGUGAUGAAGGCCUUAGGGUUGUAAAGCUCUUUUGUCCGGGACGAUAAUGACGGUACCGGAAGAAUAAGCCCCGGCUAACUUCGUG
rnacentral:rRNA from 1 species